GCACCACUCUGUACAGCUAUAGGAUCUCGGUUCAUUAGUUGUGUUAUGCUACGAUAAUUUAGUUUGAAUAUUCGCUUAGAUGAGAAAAUGCAAUGAAAAGUCUAAAGGCUGCUUAGUGGGUAGCUGAUUGCACUAUGCAAAUUCUCAUUCCAUUUUGAAACAUUUAUUCAAACACAACACAACACACACACACACUUAUAUGCACAUGUAGCACACUCAGAAACACAUUAAAGAACAUAAGUGAAUAUGCUUUUCUCUUUCUUGUCUCUCUCUUUCUCUCAGCUCUCUCAUUACCCCCCUCUCUCUCUCUCUCUCUAAGUAAAGGGAUAGUAACAGGAAUGAGUAAUUGCUUCAUACGUACAUAUGAAUAAUCAGUUAUUAUACGAAGUUGAGGUGUUCAGGUGUUCAUGACUUUUCUCAAUGCUGUUAACCUCAUGAAGCAUAUUUUGAACACCGAGUUUAGCCUAAAUGAACGUAGUGGCAAUCAUAUUAUCUAAACCUACAAAUUGAUAAUUCAGAAUGAACCUUCCUCACAGUCAAGCAUUUCUGAAAGGCUUUAAAGUGAACUAAAUUACUUCAACAAAGAAGGAAUCAAUACCAGGAUGCAACUCGCUUCAUUAGGUGUUCAUCACUAAUUAAUGUUUUCCAAUUUACAAGGAUCCAAAAGCUUGAUGUUCAACGCUAGUUUAUGUAACCUUAAGUAGAGGAGGACUACAUAUGUCGGCCUACAGAAAAUAGCUUUACCAGUGAGUGGAUGCUGAAUUGAAUUCAGUACUACAAGCCAAAAGACAAUUCAUACAUUUUUAUACAUGCUUAUAUGCUCAGUAGCGUGUAUGAGCGACUAAGUUCUCGGGAGUUCUGCACAUCGAUAAAGAUAAAUUGAAUGAUUUAUUUUGGAUCAAUAUGAACAUAUGGAUUAUCAAUAACUUAAAAUCCUUAUCCUGAGAGCGCCAUCAAAGGUGAGAAAAUUAAGUACAAAUCCGGACUAGAAUAAAAUGUACAGGCAUUGAUCGGUUUGAAAUGUAAUCUGAACAGCAAAAUUGUUCUGAACGCUCGAGUGUUGCUGGUCUGUAGAGUUACUCUGAACUGCUGUUGUUGUGUGUGAUGAAUCUGGCUAUAAGUCGGAUUCACUUUCAAGAUUACCUAGCUGUCUAUCUCUUAUAGAUAAGGUAAGCAGUUUUCCUAUCUUCACUGUCUAUGGCGAAAAAGGUAGAAUUGCGGACAAUAUAGAAAGGAAUGGGGUCGACUUACCUACUCACUCGAAAUUGCUGGGCUUGAUCCAAAAUUUAAAACUAUUAUUAUUAUUAUUAUUAUUAUUAUUAUUAUUAUUAUUAUUAUUAUUAUUAUUAUUAUUAUUAUUAUUAUUAUUAUUCAGUAGUAUAUUUUUUAUAUCGUGCUUUCACUUCACUACCGAGCGCAGCUCUGUGUGCCUUGGGUAUGUGCUGUGAUUUGUUGUGAUGCUCUGAUGGUUAUUGUAUGGAAAGUGUUCUGCGUAGGAUGUGUGCAGUGCCUAGUAGUGCAAUUUUCUGUAUGUUAUGUGUUUGUAAGUCCUGGUGUUUUUGUUAUGUAUUUGUCUGAAUAUUUUUUUAUCAUGCCUAAUGCACCUAUUAUGAUAGGAAUUGUUUCUGGUUUUAGAUUCCACAUUCUGGUUACCUCUAUUUCCAGGCCUUUGUAUUUUGAAAGUUUCUCCAUUUCUUUUAGAGACACAUUGUCAUCCUCUGGUAUUGAUACAUCAAUUAGAACACAUUUUUUUUCUUCAUGAUCUCUGACAACUAUAUCUGGUCUGUUGGCCUUAAUUUCUCUAUCUGUGUGUAUUGGCAUAUCCCAGAGUAUGGUUGCUUUCUCGUUUUCUGUGACCUUUUCUGGUGUGUGCCUAUACCAUCUUUUUUCUGUUGUUAUUCCAUAAUGUUGGCAUAGUUUCCAGUGUAUAUAGGUCCCAACUCUGUCGUGUCUGUGAAUAUAUUCCUUGUUAGCCAGGACUGGGCAGCCAGAGAUAAUAUGAUUUAUUGUUUCUCGUCCAUCUCCACAUAUUCUGCAGUUACUUGUUAUAUUUCUUUUCAUUACAUGUUUUUGGUAAUUUCUGGUGGGGAGGCUUUGGUCUUGUGCUGCAAUUAAAAAUCCUUUAGUCUUUGCUUUGAGUCCUGAGCUUCACAACCAUUGUUGGGAUUUUUCUUUGUCUAUUUCCUUUGCAUUUAGUUUAGUCCAGUAUUUGCCAUGAAGGUGCUUUUCUUGCCAUCGUUUUAUCGUGGUUCGUUGCUGUUCUAUAUUUAGUUUGGAUUUCAUUUAUUUUAUAGCUUUUGUUGUUUCUUCUUCUUCUUCUUCUUCUUCUUCUUCUUCUUCUUCUUCUUCUUCUUCUUCUUCUUCUUCUUCUUCUUCUUCUUCUUCUUCUUCUUCUUCUUCUUCUUCUUCUUCUUCUUCUUCUUCAUAUUUGUUAGGUGGUAUGAUUUCUUGUUUGUAUUUGUCAGCUUCCUUAAAUACUGAGAACAGUUUUUUGUUUUGCUCGUGUUUUGCCGCUAUUUGUAUCAGUUUUCCUUCCUUCUGAAGUAGAUAUUUUUGCAGUCCUAUGGUGGUUAUAUUAUAGUAGUUUUCCAGCUGUAUAAGGCCUCCACCACCAUCUAUACGUUGUAUAUACAACCUUUCUAUGUCAGAUUUUGGGUGAUGCAUCCUAGAUCCUGUCAUUAUUUUUCUUGUUUUCCUAUCUAUUUUGGUCAGUUCAUUUAGUGUCCAGUUAAGGAUAUUGUAGCUGUUACUUAUAACUGGGACGGCUAAAGUGCUGAUACCUAUUAUCUUGUUUUUAGCAUUGAGCUCUGUUUUCAGUAUUGAUCUAACUCGUCUAUAAUAUUCUUUUUUUUAUUUUCUCUUUCAUUUGUGUGUGUUGUGUCUUAUCUAGUUCAUGGAUUCCUAAGUAUUUGUAAGUUUGGUUUUGGUCUAAUUCUUUUAUUUCAUUGGUUUUAUCUAGUGUGAUGUUGCUACUCUUAAUUAGUUUUCCUCUUUUCAGGGUUACUUUGGAGCAUUUCUCUAAUCCAAAUUUCAUAUCUAUUUCUUUGGUAAAUCCAUGAACUGUCUUUAGUAGUGUUUCUAGCUGUUUGUCAUUUCUAGCUGUUUGUAGCGUAUAGUUUUAGGUCAUCCAUAUAUAAAAAGUGGCUGAUCUUUUUGCCGUAACAUUUAUAUCCGCAUCCAGUUCUGUUUAGCAUAUCCGAUAGAGGUGACAGUGCCAAGCAGAAAAGGAGUGGAGAGAGCGUAUCUCCCUGGAAUAUUCCUCUUCUAAUGGGGAUGGCUUUGGUUUUCACAAGUCCCUCUUUUGUUUGGAGCUGUAGAACUGUUUGCCAUUUAUUUAUAGAGUUGUUGCAACUUUGUUCAUGGCUAGUGUUUCGAGAAUCCAUGUGUGGGGGAUGCUAUCAAACGCUUUUUUGUAGUCGAUCCAGGCCAUACUGAGGCCUUUCUUCUUUCUGUGGCUGUCUUCAGUUAUGGCUUUAUUAAUCAUUUGUUGAUCUUUACAGCCAUAUGAGCCUUUGCGGCAUCCUUUCUGCUCUUCUGGAAACCGGUUGUUUUCGUCCAGGUGCUUGUUCAAUCUUUGCGAUAUUACUGCAGUAAAUGCUUUGUACAUUGUAGGGAGACAGGUUAUUGGUCUGUAGUUUUCUGGUUUUGCUGUCUCGUUUGAUUUGGGAAUUAAGAUGGUUUUCCCCUUCGUGAGCCAUUCAGGCAUUGUCUCUGGCUCUGCCAGUAUGUUGUUAAAGUUUUCAGCCAGCUUUUUGUGCAUUCCUGUUAGAUAUUUCAACCAGAAGUUGGGGAUCUUGUCAUGUCCAGGUGCCUUCCAGUUGCUUAGUCUUUGCAGUGCCUGGGUGACCUCUUCAGUUGUUAUGGGGGUCCAAAGUUGCUCAGAUGCUGAGUUUGUUGUUUUAAUACUCCCUUUUUUUGGUUGUUCGUUCGCCGACCAUAUUUCUCUCCAGAAUUCUUCCACUUCUUCUGUCGUUGGUGCUGUAGUGAUUUCUAUUUUAUUUUUGCCAAGUUCUUGGUAGAACUUUUUGGGGUUGGAGUUGAACUGUUUGUUUUGUUCAAAGAAACGUUGGCGUUUCUCGUACCGGCGGAUCCUUUGUGCUUUGGCAAGGAUAUCUUGCUUCAGCUUUUCUUUUAUCUCAAGUAAAUCUUUUUCUGUGGUGUUGUAUUUGCGGAGUAUUUUUGUUUUCUUUUUGUUGCUCAGUAGCGUUGAUUGUCUACUGAUUUCAUUAAGAAUCGACAGAUCUUUUCUCAUUUUUGUAUUUUGUUUUGGAUGUUAUUUAUCCACAGGGUUUGUUUGGGUGGUGGUACUCCUAUUUGGAUGGGUUUCAGUGAGUAUCCAGCUUCUCUUGUGGCUGCAGUGGCUGCUGCGCAUACUAAGUCAUUUAGCUCAGUGAUAUCGUUUUUUGUUUCAGUGGCUAUUAGUUCCGUGACGGCUAGGUUUAUGUUGUUUAUAAUUGAUGUUGUUGUUUCGUCUAUUUUGAUUCUUGGGAGGUAUGGUCGGUGGUCCAUUUUGAGCUCUGUGGUUUUCAGUUCUUUGAUUAUUCUAUUUUUUUAUAGUUUCAUAAUCAUUAGGCUCCCCUUCGUUGUUUCCAGGUUUUAGAUUUGUGUCGCUUUCUAUCUCAUCCGUAUGUUUGUUUGUCGUGUUUUGGCUUGCUGUUUGUCGUGUAUUAUUAUGUAUCCUUACGGUCUGGGUUUGUUGUUUUUUGUUUACAUCGUUUUUGUUGGAAAUGUUACGUUUAUCUUCGUGUUUUAUUGUUACAGUGUUUAUAUUAUUUGGCAUUGUUGUGUGGCUUCUAUUUACAUUUCCUGAUGUAUUUUUUCUUUUAAAUGUUCUAUUUCUAUUUCUGAUAUUUUUUUUUGCGUUCAGAAUAUAUCUCCGUAUAUUUGCUAGUUUAUUAGGGUUCAUUGAUGUAUCCAGGUCUUUAUUUAUGUUAUUUUUCUUCCAUAUUUUGUAUGUAUGUGUUGUAUUUUCAUUCUUUGGGUAGAGCACUUCUGUAAAGUAAGCGUGUAGGAUAGAAAUGUAUUCCUCACGUGUCCAUUUAUGUCUUUUGGGUUUAUUUUAUGUCAAUGUUUUGAUUUGUACUCUACAGGUGUUAAAACCCUACAUCAAGAGAUUAAGUAGUCGACUAUUUCUAUUCCAUCGUUGCAGUAUCGACACUUUGGGUCUACACCAUUUUUCAUCACAUUGGCUUGAUAGUUCCGGGUCAAUAAGCUCUGAUAUUGGGUUGCUAAGGGUAAAGCCUUCACUCUCUGCCUUUAGCCCUGAGCUCCGUAGCCACUGAUUGGUCUGCUUCUGAUCUACAUCAGUUAGUUUGCUACGGGCCACAUAUUUGCCAUGCAGAGGUUGUUGUUCCUACCUGUCAGCCAAUUGUUUAAGCGCAUUUUGCUUUGCUAUUGAUUUCACCUUCUUUGCAACUACAGUUCCUGCACUUUCCUCAUACUGUUUAACCUGGGUAUUAUUUCAACUUACUUGAAAUCUUUUUUGCUCUCCUUCAUAACAGAAUGAAGUUACUUACGUCUUUCAUGGUUUUCAACGAGCAUCCAGUCGUGAGAUGUUUCAAGAUAUUUUGCCAGUUCAAUUGUGGUGGUUUUGUAGGAGAUUUCAAAUUGGAUCAAGCCUCGACCUCCUUGAGCUCUGGGUGGGUAAAGACAACAUGCGUCUGCCUUUGGGUGGUAUAGCUUAUCGCAAGUCAACAGGUUACGGAUUUUCCUGUCAAUCUUCCUUAUUUCGUUGAUAUUCCAGUUCAACACAUUGAAACUGUAAAUAACAACCGGAACUGCUAAGAAAUUUAUAGCUAACACCUUUUCACGUGCAUUUAUCUCGGAUUUUUAGGACUGCUAGAACUCUCCUGUAACACUCCUUCCUGAUCUUCACUUUCAUACUUGCAUGUUGAAUGCCAGAGCCCUCAUUUAUUCCGAGUUAUUUGUUUGUUUCUGCUCGAGUUCUUUUAUGACUGUGCCAACAUCCAACACCGCUGAAUGUGGUCUUCUUCUUCUUCUUCUUCUUCUUCUUCUUCUUCUUCUUCUUCUUCUUCUUCUUCUUCUUCUUCUUCUUCUUCUUCUUCUUCUUCUUCUUCUUCUUCUUCUUCUUCUUCUUCUUCUUCGCUAAGGCGGGAGGUAUUGUUUUCAGUCGCGUUUGCUUGUUUGUCCGUAGACAAGAUAUCUCAAGAACCGCUGAAUGGAUAUGGGUGAAAUUUUCAGGUAUGUUUGGCCUUGUGACUGGCACGAAUUAAUUAGAUUUGGGGAUCGAUUUGGUACUGGACGAGGAUUCUGGAUUAUUUUUUCUGUUUUUUUAAAAAAACUUUUUGAGAGCGGUCGGGUUCAUUUUUAGCAUUCUCGUCUGUGAGGGCAGUCGAGUUUAUUUCAGAUAUUCUCAUUUUAAAAAUCUCUCUCUGGCUAAUUGUUGAGAAGACAUUGGUGUUGCUUUAGCAGAGGUUUGCGGUCUCUGAGUGCUCUUGUUAUUAUUAUUUUCAUAUUCACUCAAGAGAUUAGGCUGUUGGAAAAGAAAAGAAUACUAACAUCGGGUUACAGCAAGUAACCUUAGAUGCUAAGGACCCUCCUAAGUAUCCUAGCUGUCCCUAAUAACAUUGUUUUCUGGAUUUGUACUAAACUUGGUUUUAUGCCUAUUUCCUUUAUCUGUUUGUUCAGAUCUUUAGGGAUAGUUCCCAAUGCACCUAUAACUACUGGGAUACAUUUUACCCGCACUUAUCGCAGUCUCUGUAAAACAAUAGCUAGGUCCUGGUACUUUGCUAUUUUUCUAUACCUCUCACAUUUGGGACUGUAAAGCCAAUUAUCUCGCAUUUCUAUUCUCUUUUAUCUAUUAUUAUUAUUAUUAUUAUUAUUAUUAUUAUUAUUAUUAUUAUUAUCAUUAUUAUUAUUAUGAUGCUGAAAAACUAUCGGAAAGUUCUUAAUUACCGGUUAUUCUUUACUUCAAAGCAGGCAAUAACAAAUCACCUGAGUUUCAAGUAGUGCCUUCUCCUGUGACUCAAAGACACAAUACACUCCUUAGAAUGCGAGCUGUACCCGGAAUACAAAAGCAACAAUCAAGAGCAUGGCAAAUAAUAUGGGAUCCUGGCUAAUUGUCGCUUUUGUAAUGCCAUACAGACGGGUGUUAAGUGCACCAGUAGCGAAAACUAUUAUAUUGUCGAAAGGAGUCAGCGAAGAGUUGCAAGUCCUGAUGACCUCCUCAGCACUCUACUGCAUCUAAAGCAGUGAAACAGAAGGAAGGGGUAGACCUGGAUUUUCAGUUGUUACGCUUUUGGUAGCAACAGCCUCUUGAGGGGUUUUUGAACUAAAAAAUUGGGAAAAUGCAUAAAUGUCUAGCAGGGUCCGCAAGCUGCUGAUUGAUAACAACAGAAACAAAGAUCCAAUCAGUCGGAGAAAACACGAAGACAGAAAAAAAAAUCUUCAAAUUUUAGGAGAGUACAGUCGGUUGUACUGACUACUAUACCAUACUAAUAUUUUAUUGAACACCUCGAUAUAUUUCAGCUAGAAUGUAAAUAAAUACCGUGACCUAUUUCGAUAAAGUGAUGGAAGGCAAAAAACGUAAUAAAUUGGAAAGAUAUUAAUUUUGCAUAGCAGAGCUACAGGAGAAAGACAGUGUAUUUUAGAGAUAUUUUUGUUUAUUUCCGAUAGCGCCAUCUGUAAAUAAGUGAUCUAUUUGAAUAGUAUAUUCCGAGUAUUAGUAGUAACACCAUCUAUAUACUGUAUUACAUAAAUAUAGACAAAAAGCCAAUACUAACACUAACAUUAUGUAGAACUGUGAAAAUGCAAUAAAAUUCGAAGCUUAUAUUUCUGUAUAUUUCUGAUGAUUAUAAAAUAUAUUUCAUAAAAAGAAUUUAAAAAAUAUAUAUGAAAUAUAACAUUAUCUAAAAAAGAAAUGAGUACGAUCAAUUUCUUACAUGAUGUAAUGAUUUCUAACAUUGAAGAGAAAUUUCGAGAAAAUGUAAUUUCCUAGUUCUCGCUUCAUUUCAUCACGCCACUGUACAUUAUUUUGAAAAUUUCCUGGUUUAAAGAAUAAUUCAGAAGCUGUUUCGAUACUUCAGGUAUUUCAAAUUUAAUUACACCGCUGUUUUCCGCUAGCUACAUUAAACAAACUGAAUUAGACCUAAAGAAAUUUAAAAUUUUAAUUACGCCUCUCUACUCCACCAGCUAGGAUAUAUAAAAUUAAUCACGCACUCUUCUUUCAUUUUAUUUAUAUUUCGUGUGAUCCACUGCUCAUUUAACGAGAAAUAUCACUCUAACUUAAUUAUAGAAAUAAUGACAUAAAAUAACACUUAAGAUAUACAUUUAAGAAUAUAUAUGUAUAUAUAUAUAUAUAUAUAUAUAUAUAUAUAUAUAUAUAUAUAUAUAUAUACACACAUAUAUAUACAUAUAUAUAUGCUAUAUACAUAUAUAUAUAUGCUAUAUAUACGUACAUACAUAUAUAUAUAUAUAUUUACACACACACAAACACAUACACACACAUGCACAAAACAAACAUUUUUCUCCUACUUAGCUGCUGCCACUGGUUAGCGCUGUCAAACGUGAAAUUAUUUCGUUUGUAUAUUGUGUGUCUCGGAAAUAUUUAAAAGUUUCUAAACCAAAGACUAUCUUAUUCUAAAUUUCUUCCCAAUAAAUGUCUGUUAGGAUAUAAUUUCUAGAACCUCUAAGCAAUUUAGUUUAGAAAUAUUACAAUUCCGAUGUUUAGUUCUUGUGUAGCUCAUAAUUGCAUCAUUAACUCAAAUACACUUGUCAUCUAAACUAACAGGCUAUAUUAUUUUCUCGCAGGUAUUUGAUACUGGGGAAUUUCAACCGUGUUUCGUGGUCUGCUACCACAACAGCUUCUUUAUAGGAUCCAGUUAGCACAAGACAUCAUCAGGAGGAACCACGUCCGGUUACGGCCCCUACUCCUCUACCGUUUUGAUGUCCCCCCCCCCACUUUCGGAGGUGUCUUCAGCUUUGGUGUUGGGUGCAUGUCUUCUUUAUUCUGUUCACUGACCUCUUCGAUGUAGCGUCAACGAGUGUCAGCGGGUGACUGACUGCCUUGUCAAUUUUUUUCUCCUUUAAAUACCUGCUGCUAGGCUCCAGCAGGCAGCCCCAGCAAGUUGUCAUGCGACACUGUCUCAACUUUAACUGACCAAUGAAGGCGCGUAGUCUUUUCCCACGCAUUCUCUAAACGAGAGAGUCCUAUAAUUUCAAAAUAUAACUUCACCAACUGGUGGAAAUCAGUUGAAACAUUGUGCAUAGAUAACGAAGCUGAUAUUAACCGUUGUACGUUGAAACUUUCUGCCUGCACUCAUGGUGACUUAACUCGUGGUUUGUGAUAUCACAAGUUUGCAGAUUUCAGGUUAGUUGAUCUCCAUAAACUGGCUGUCAACAUGGUACCUUUUCCUUCAUUAUAUUUCGUCAUACCUCGCUUUGCCUCUCUAAUAGUUCGAGGCGGCCAGUAAAUCUGAGCAUAGAACUUCUUUUAUAGAAACUUGCACACCAAACAUAGUAUGUGAUCAAAGAUGCAGUUGCUGUCUGAUACUUGUCACUAUAUUUCAAGGUUGCAUGUCAAUGGAUGUUGAUGAUUAAACCCCAAGCUUAUGGAAUAAGAAUAGCAACUGUUUUACUGAGUGAAUUCCGAGCAAUGUAAAAAACAAUCAUGCGUAAUAUUGUUCUAUAUGGACUUAAAUGUUUUUGUGUAUUUUACUGGAAAUAAUACCGCUAUGUAUCGUUAUGCAAACGUUAUUCAUAUGCCCCUCUGAAGAGUUGACUAUUAUGCCUAGACGUAAGACUUUCUUGCAUUGGUACAAUGGAGAAGUUAUGAAUGAUAUGGAAGCCACGGAAGAUGAGUCCAAUAUGCUUGACUUUUAAGUUCUAGAAAUACCAGGAUACCACUGUUAAGGACGACAAAAGAAAUCAAUGAACAGGAACUGUAGUGUAACAGUAUCUGACCUAUUAAAUUCUUUCACUAUUAGUCGCUGUUUUUGAAUAUUUCACUAGUCUUUAUCUUUGACUACUGUUGGCGACUUGCAAAACAACCUUGUUUAUUAAAUCAUAGUCUUUAAUGAUUGCCGAAGGAAAGUGAAAGUGAAUAACACUUGAAAUGUAUGGUAACUUUACCUAAUGAAUAUCAAGGCUAUCUAAUAAGUGUAGUAUCUAGAUGGAUUGCAGUUCAUGCUAUUUGGUCAUAGUAGUUCCAACAGAUGUGCAUUUCUUUCCAUCUACUUUGCUUUCCUACAUCUGUUAUAUUAUAAUAUUGUAUUGUUUAUUGAAUAAAGGUUUUGUUAAUAAAGUUUAUGCCGGUUUAUUUGCUUUACAAAUAUUUCAAAAUACUGAAUUCUUACCUUAGAAUAUUCUUUUAAUUUUCAAUUCUUAUUUCAUAAAGGUUCUGGUUCAUUUAAUUUCCUUGAAUGUCAUUUAGGUUUUAUAUUUUUAUUUGUUUAAUGUUUAUUAGGAAUGUCUAUUUUGUACCCUUGUAGGGUUUUAACAUGCAUCAUCUUGUGACAAAGGCAUAUAUUUAAUCACUGAAUGUUGUGAAUGAAAAUAUUUCCUGGAAAAGUCCCCGGAUGAUGGAUAUUGGAACAGCCUCUAGAUAUAGGAUUUAGUGACGGUUAUGAAAACAAGCCGUCCCGGACUAAACACAGGAUGAGCUUUAGCAAAGAAAAGCACCCGACAGAUAGGUCAUCCAAUUUAGAAUUACAGGUGAAGCCAUGGAUUGUAGUAUAGUGGAAGUACAGUAUCGAUAAGGAGUAAUCACUCGACUAAUGGGGAAACUUGCACAAUGCGGAACAGAGUAACUUCUGUAAGGGCAAUGGCAGGGUCACCAUGUUCUCGAAAUGCCUUAUCACUAACGUCUAUAGACCAAACAAUCUGGGAUGUUAUUGGCCAAGAAAAGAUUUCAACGACACACACACACACACACACACACACACACACACACACACACACACACACACACACACACACACACGAACGCACACACACACGAACGCACAAACAUGAAUCAGAUCGUCAUUCCAUAUUACCCGUUACUCGGAUAACCAAGAAACGCGUUCUGCUUUAGUACCGGCUGUGGCUCAAAAUUCAAAACAUCAACUUCAGAGCCAAACUAGCUAGUUUUCAUUAUUAAAAUGCAAAUGCACAACCAUAAUCUCAACUUUCAAUGUGCGAACUAUAAAAAUCUGUGUAAGCUUGACUAGAUAUGUUAAGAGUGUUUACAAAGUCUCUGUAUAUUAAUAUUUUAUAACUUGACUGUCAAUUUAAAUACCAUUCAAGAAUGAUAGGAAUACAGAAUUUUUUCUUGCAGUGUCAACGAUCUUGUCAGUACUGUCUCUUCUGCAAGUUUUACUGGAGUCGUAGAAGAUAGCUAAUCGAUGCUUUACAGUAGAUCAAAGAUCGUAAUUAGAGUUAUAUUGAUCGUCACAAAUUUCUUUUUUUCUAGUUUCGAAAAUAAUCAUUCAAUUAGUGAAACGUUGAAGUUUAUUCUAGUUUGAGAUAAAUUUCUAAAAUAAACAUCAGAAAAUUUAUACAUCUUUAAUAUGCCGAGCAAAAAUAUAGAUCGUAAAGAAACAUUGAUAAGUACAUAAAAAAUUUCCUGUUUUAAACUCUAAUCAAUUACGUUUAUAUUACGCAUGAUCACCUUCAUAGAAAUAAAUAACUUAGAAAACAUGUUUUCUAAAUGUUAGCAAAGGUGUAUCAUAUUCAGAGGGAUGAAAUGAAUCUGGGACAUAGAUGAUUUUAUUGGAUUUGAAAACAGAGCGCAAUAGCCCAACUGGCCUCUCUCUCUGUUAUAGUUUCAGCCUCAUAAAUAUUGGUUUCUAAUUUUAGCACAAGGCCAGCAAUUUCGGGGUGGGAUGGGAGAUGGAGGUAAGUCGAUUAUAUCGACCCCAGUGAUCAACUGCUACUUACUUUAUUGAUUUCGAAAGGACGAAAGGCAAAGUCGACCCCAUCAGCAUUUGGACUCAGAACGUAAAGACGGACGAAAUGUCGCUAAGCCCGGCGUGCUAACGAUUCUGUCAGCUCACCGUCUUUAGCUUCAUUACUAUUAAAAAAAAACACAUCAAAGCGACGAGUUGGCUGAAUCGUUAGCAUUGCGGACAAAAUGCUUAGUGGCAUUUCUUCAGUCUUUGUGUUCUGAGUUCAAAUUCCGCCGAGGUCAACUUUGUCUCUAAUUCCUUUCGAGGUCGAUGAAAUAAGUAGCAGUUGAGCAUUGGGGUCGAUGUUAUCGACUUAUCCCACACCCAAAAUUGCUGACCUUGUACUUUUGAUUUAGGAACAAAAUUAGUAAUUUUUCGAAGCGAGGGGAUUUGUCAAUUCCAUCGACUCCAGUAUUUAAUUGGUAAUUUCGUGUAUCGAUUCCAAAAGGCUGCAAGGCUAAAUUCAUCUGAGCGAGAUUUCAGCUCAGAACGCCAGAUCAUAUACUGCGAAGCGUAAUUUAUGUCACUAAGCCAUACUCACUUGCGAGUGACAUCUACAUGAGUGAUACUUUUUAGUUUUUAGCACCUCAGUUUUGGAUGAGAAAAAAAUAUUUUUUAAUAUAUACAUAUCUAUUACAUUUCUGUCAGUUUGACUUCUAAUCGUCAUCAGGUAUCUUAUCUAUGCAUAUGAGGAACUCAGUACCAGGCUGGAUUGAAAAUAAGAAUAUUUAUUUAUAAAUUAAGGGUAAAAACACUCGUAUCUAUUAAGCAGCUUAUGCAUCUGAUGGCAAUCGGAGAGCAAAUUGAAUGAAACGUACAAAAGCCUCAUGAAGUAGAAUCGAUUAUGUCACGAGUCCACUUUCCCAUCAGCUUAUAAGCUGCAUCAAUUCAAAUUUAACGUAAGUGAGGAACUGAUUUACUUGUGAGUGUACCAGACAAAAUACAUUGCAGUUAUUUGUUCCACUUUCUUAUAUUCUGAUUUCAAAUCCCAAAGAAGCCAACUUUGCUACUUAUUCGUCCAGGGUUGAUAUAUAGAGUACCAUUCUUGGACAGUGAACUGGCAGAAUUGUCGUAGCAUCGGAUGUGUGUCGCUCCAGCUUUUUGUGUUCUAACAUAAAAUACCAUAGUGGUCUAUUGCAGUAGUAGACCUAAUCCAUUGCUUAGUUUAACGCCACCAUCUGGUCACUGGAUGCCUUUUACGGACUCUAAUCUGUUGCAAGCAUUGAUACCGUAUUUCUUAUUUCUUUAUUGCCCACAAGGGGCUAAACACAGAGAGGACAAACAAGGACAGACAAACAGAUUAAGUCGAUUAUAUCGACCCCAGUGCGUAACUGGUACUUAAUUUAUCGACCCCGAAAGGAUGAAAGGCACAGUCGACCUCGGCGGAAUUUGAACUCAGAACGUAGCGGCAGACGAAAUACGGCUACGCAUUUCGCCCGGCGUGCUAACAUUUCUGCCAGUUCGCCGCCUUUUUCAUUCAUACCGUAUUUCUGGUCAGUGGGGACCUAUUUACCUGUCUGCAACUAGCUUCAGAGGCCUUGUGAAAAGCCAUGGACAUCGCCUUUCACUCCUAAUUAAAGGAUUAAAAAAAUACUGCGUAACAUCUAGUUAUGAUGAUUUCCUUAUUUGAUAAUGUUCAAAGGGACUGACGAUAUAGCCAUUAAUCAUUACAUUAAUGAAUAUGGAAAUUUACUUACUACGUCCUCAGAAAGACCAACCAAGUUCAGAUACUUUCAUAAAUUAAAUCAAAAUUAAAAGUUUGAUGAUCUAUCAACUGAAUUACGUGAGUGUUAUAUUAGUGGCCUGGUAGCAGAAGUGCGACGAAAUUUUUGACACUGCAUUUUAAGAUAUGAAAAUGUUUCUGUUCCGUUUGAGAUACUCUUUGUUGUUGCUUAGAUGCAAUCCCUCUCACAUAAUCGCAUAAAAUUUACUUUUACUUCCUCAUUAAGGUCUCUUAUUAAGCGUUCAUUCUCCGUCUUGAAAUAUUCACGUGACUGUAUUGUGUUUUUUUUUAUAUGUCACAGUUUUUAUAAACAAUAGCAUCGUUGGUUCCACGUUUCUGAAGUUAAAUUCAGUAACCCCAAUUAAAUGCAGCAAUUGGUUGGGUUACUGAAUUUACACAGAGAGAGAAUAAAAAAGGGCAGUUUGUGUGUGCAACUCGGGAAGAACAAAUAUCACAAGGUAUUUGCUCGAAGGUACCAGUUUAUUGUUUUCUUCGUUGAUGUUUACACCUUUCGCCAAAAGACAUACACGUAUACAUGCAAUGGGCUUCUGCGCAGAUCGAAUUCUGCUCAUAAAGUAACGGUUAACUUUAGUCUAUGGUAGAGGACAAUUGUUCAAGGUGUUGUGUAAUAGGUUCGAACCAAGAGUCACGUAGUUGCACUGCAAACUGUUUUAGUUACACAGCCAUACCAAGUCCUUUUGAUGUUCAGAAAAUUACUGUUCGUAGUUAUAAUUUUCCUAUAACGCCGUGAUAGUAUCUCUCUUUCUUUCUCCUUGGUGUCUGCUAACGAGAUUAGAAAGUUUUUCCCUCUUAGAUAUUUCUUCUUCUUUUGUAGGUGCAAUAUUUAUCUCUAUAUGCUUUACAACAUCUUUCCUCUUAGUGUCUGUACUGGCGUUUUUAAAGCAAUUCAGAUUAGCUAAAAAUAAACAAGCAACAACACAAAAUAACAACAAUGAACACAAACAACAUUCCCUUUUAUGUUAAACUUCGCAGAAAGUACUGUCAAUAAAUAAUUAAGUUGACGAUAAAAUUCAGCUAAACUUUUGUACCUUUUGAUCAGAGAGAAAAAUCUAUGUGGAAAACUGGAUAGUUUUGGUGUAUUUAUAGAAGUCAAUAAAUACAAUAUACAUACAUACAUACAUACAUAUAUAUAUAUAUAUAUAUAUAUAUAUAUAUAUAUAUAUAUAUAUAUUUGUAUGUGUAUUUAUGGGUGUGUGUGUAUAGUUUUUACAGAAAUCAAUAAAUACUAUAUAUGUAUAUAUAUAUAUAUACACACACAUAUCACAUACAUACAUAUACGCAUACACAUGCACAUACACACUCGCGCGCACACACACACGCCACGCAUAUAGAUUAACACAUGCACAUACAUACACGUGUGUAUGUGUGUUUUCUGUUUGGCAAAGCAAAGAAGCUCUACAGUUCAGAUGCUAAACUUCAGAAAAAGAAAGGAGGUAGAAGGAAAAUUAAAAUGUUCAUACAUUUCCGUCUGUUAUUAAGGACGUAUACAUGAGAUGGAACUAAAAUAGCAUCAUGAUGUCGGUUUGAUGGGAGCUUACGUUGUUAUUUCUGUUCUUUACAUUUAAGUUAGCUUUGAUUGAGCAGGCCAAUUAGAAAACAUACUUCAAUACUGAUCGUCUUGUUAUUUUACUGGGUACAGGGUACCUAAGGACCACAUUAUCCAAAGUGCUCUAUUUUUUGUGUCAAGUGAGAGGUUUCGGUUUGAGGGAAAUUUUGAUUGCUAUUUUCAGCAUAUCGUAUAAUACAGCUUUGUUAUCAUAAAUAUAAACAUUAUUGUAUAAUUAAUAGGAAUAUAAUACAUAUACCUUUGGAAUUUUAACCCUCCGUUGGUGUAGGUAUUUUAUUUAUCAAGAGUUUCUGUACAAUUGUUUCUCAAAAGACAUUUUAAUCUUACAUAAAGAAAAUUUCAUCUAUUGGACAAUUGAAAGAAAAUUGAAAAACUAAGGAAGGCAAACAAAAAGCGCAGACAUUUUAUUUGGUAAACCAUUUGGUAGUCCUUGUCACUGAUCGCAUUCUCGUCCUUGUCAUCCUUACCAUAGCAGUGAACACAAACUAUGAAUGAAUGAUCCAAUCAGAUGGGUUUCGAACACUUUUGAGAGCUAUUCUUUGUCUUUUGAUCCUUUGAUUUGGGGUACAAUGUGUAUCUUUCUGGAAAACUUGCACGACGGCGUUUUGGAAGUAAUUUCUUAGAUGAGAAGUGGUGGAUCUUCUUUUUCAGGUUUCUUUUCAAACCCGGAACUGUCUUUUCGAUGGUUAAUAUGGUCUUCUACCAACUUCAUCCCUAACAUUUUCGAAAAAUUCCGCCGCAUGAUGGUUGAUUGAGAGUUUGCCAUGCAUAUAUUGAAUGCAUUUAUUCCUACAACAUUGAGUGUGGUGUAAAAGCUGUAAGAGGCCAGCGUCGAGUAUUUUGGGAACCAUUAUAUGUUGAACACAACUGGUCAACGUUAUCCACCCCUCCUUUAGUACAGUUGUAGAAGGUAUUGACCAUUGGUUCCUUUUUUCUUUGGUGUCUGCAUUAACUGCAGUAUCAUCAUGAUGCUUUGUGCUGAGUAAUACUACACACGUUUCUUGCUUAUAUAAGAGGUCAGUUCGGCGUUUUUCUGGAAAUCAAACAAACUUGUAUACUCUGUUGUACCUUUGACAGCAACAAGGAUUUUUCUCUUGUUUUUCCUCAUUAGUGCCACUAAUGUUAGUUUAUAAUCCCUCUGGAGGUCGACUACUAGAACGUAACUGGUACACCAGAUGUCCACCGUAAUGUUUCUCUCAGUUCUGCUGAUAUAAGAAACAAUUCACUUUACUACUGCCUUUAUAGUUAUCUACUACAAAAGGGCUUUCUAGUUGCUUUCCCAAGUAGACUUCUAUGUUUAACACAUAAUGGGUUUUAGUAUCAGCCAAUGCAAAUAUUUUGAUACCAUAUUUAGCUGGCUUAUUUGGUAUGUAUUGCGUAAAAGGACAAUCAUCUCUAAAGGCAGCCAGCAUUUCAUCCACUGUCAUAUAUUUUUUGAGUGUAAUUGGAUUUAAGUUAUCAACAAAUGUCUCAAAGAAGUUUCUAAAAGUUGUAAACUUAUUUUCUGCUCUCUUUUCAGCCCGUGUGUGGAUGUUAUCAAACCUCAAAGAAGCCAGCAGGAAACGAAAGCGCUGCAGAGACAUAGUUGCUUGAAAUAUCUCUAUUCCUGUUCCAUCAGCUGCUCAAACAUACUCUAUAUUCAUUCGGUUAGAUCUAAAGCUCCCAAGAGACAAAGCGGUCCUGUUACAGCUUUCUCUCCCUUUCAUUGGUUUGUCUGAUUCGGGAUUCCUCUUUAAAUAUUCCUUAAUUAGUGUCAAUAUAGAUAUUAGUGCAUCAUCUUAAGUCAUUCAGAAGGCCUGGAGUAAAUAACAGAUCCCAUCACUCCACUACAUCAUGCACGUCUCUUGUUUUUCCUCUUCGUUCAGGGGUACCUCGUAUAAUGUUAUGUGCGUGUAUGCUCCGUGGAAGAGCUGGAGGAACUUUGUUCCAAACAGUUUGAUCUCUGCUGAUAAACUUACAGUCUCUUGACCUAUUACUCUGUGGAUUUGGAUUUGCCUUAUUAGCUUCAGUUACUUCCUCCUCUUCAGUUACUUCCUCCUUUUUUCUGUUGUACUCUCGUCUUUUUCUUCUCCAUCCACUCUUGGUUCCCCCUCUUCUUCAUCAUCCCCUCUUUGUUCUUUACUUACUAGUGCUUCGUCUUCUGACUCCAGUUUAUCUCGUUCUUCUAGGAGUAAUAUAUCAUCCUCUUUAUCUAGCUCUCUUUCAUUCAUUUCUGUCAACCGUUCUAUUUGUUUGCAAUAAUUCAUUUUGAUUUUGAAAAUAGAAAGCCGCCAUAAAUAUGUAUCAUAAAAAUAAGAACAACACAAAUGUAUAUUAUAUGUGUAUCCUGAUCCUUAUGACACACAUAUACGAUAAUAAAGGAAAUAUAUGCUUUAGAAAAAUUACCUAUGAGAAAGGAGUGGAGGAGUUUGCAACACUCCAAGACGCAAUUACUGUAUGUAUACUCCCUCCCUUUGCCAACAGUACACUGAGCAACCUGUUGUAUCAGCUCAGUGCACAUUGGCAGGAAAUUACAUGGGAAGAUACUGUUUCACUGUUGUCAAACGCAAAAGAUUACUUUGGCUAAGCCAUAACCCGCUGCACCAAUGGAGGGUUAAGCCCGUUGUGAUCUGCUUUUCGUUUUAAAUAAUUCUUUCUGUUGUUGGCACAAUAUCCGAACGUUUAGGAGAAGGGGUAGUCCAUUACAACAACACCUGUGAUCAACUGGAACUGAUGUCAUCGACCUCGAAAGGAGGAAUGGCAAAAUUGGCCUCGGUGGUGCUGAGCUCAGAUCGUAAAGCCACAAGAAAUGCCGCUAACCAUUUUUGACCGGCGCAGUAACGAUUCUGUCAGCACGUCGCCUUGUGUUGAUAAAAUAAUGAUUUCAAAUGUUGACACAGGGCCAGCAACUUUGAAGUGGAGCGGGCUAGUUGACUCCAGUACUUAACUUGUGCUUAUUUUAUCGGCGCUGAAAGGAUAAAAUGUAAAGUCGACCUCGGUAGAACUUGAACUCAGAAAGUAAAGCCGGAAAAACUACCGCUAAGCAUUUUGUUCGGCGCGGUAACGACUCUGCCAGUUCGCGACCUUUUGUUGGUUAAAUAAGACGUAUUAAAUGUAUACUAAAAUUACUUGACUGAUUACCUUGCCUUCCCUUGUACAUCCAGCUUCUGAUGAAGUUGUAGCAAUGAAACUGUGACCUACAGCAUGUUUUGGGUAUCUAAAUCUUUCAGAGAUCGUUCUCCUCCUAGUCUGACUACAUUUCAUCCAUUCAGAGAGAGAGAGAGAGAGAGAGAGAGGGAGAGAGAGAGAGAGAGAGAGAGGUAGGGGAAUAAUUCCCUUCUUGAUUUCUCCCGAAACGACGAGUUGACAUCCGUAGUAUUUGAAUUGAGAACGUAGAGAGCUCCAACAAACUCCGCAAGAUAUUUUACCUAAUGCUAUAACGACUCUCUCAAUUCACCGCUUUAUAAGAAAAUUAAUAAAAAGAUUAAUGAUUAUUCUAAAGGGACACUAUACGAAAUGGUAACUCUUAAGGUUGAAUAGACAAAGGCCAUCAAUAUUGACAUAAGGACUGACUGCAUCAAUUAUCCAAUAGAACCAGUUUUUGUUUUUGUAAAAGAAUUUAUAAAUCAACACAAAAAUGUUUUCUUUCCAUCGUUAGAUCUAGAACAACGGAUUAUCGAGAGACUCGGAGACCAAGCAGAUCGAUUAGUGGUGUUAUUCUUGAACAAUUGUAAAUAUAUGGCAACAUGAAAGAUCUAGAGAGGAAAAGAAUUCCAGAGGCUUGGCAGUGUGAAGAGAAAGGAUUGGGAAAAAGAAGUUAGUGUUGGGCCUGGUAUGGUAAACAAGGUUAUAAUAUGGAUGACGAGAAGAGGAGAGACGUGCGGAUUGGGAAGAUUGGGUGAAAAUGGCAAGAGGUCAACUAGUUUCCAGAAGCAGAGGCUGCUACAAUAUCGGUUGCUGAAGAUAAGGACUGAUUUCUCGUGGAGACGUACUUGUGAUAUUUUUUAAAAGUUGCUUGCAAUAAUUUAAUUUAAUUUAUAAUUUCCUUUGAGAAACAAAGAUGAUUAUCAAAAAAUGUUAGACUAAAUCUCCUAUGAUUCUAAAGUCUGAUUUCUAUAUGAGGAAUUAACUUAAGAUGUUGUUUAGCUUCAGGUAAUAUGUUAGAACAGAACUAUGAUAAAGUCCUCCAGAACCUUCCCAUUUUUUAAAUUAUAAGGUAAUGCUAUGUAGGACCAUAGUAUCCGAUGUGCUCUUCCUUACAUAAGAUAAUAUAGCUUGACUUGAGGGAGAGUUGCACUUUCGUUCUGAGUCUUCCACGUUUGCAAACAAAGAAAUGUGUAAUAAUUCAGAAACAUAAUGACUUAUAUUCAUUGACUUUAAGAUAUGGUAAUGAUUGUUUUUGAAAUUUAAGCAUUAGAUAUAAGCAGUUUUGAGAGUUGUAUAACAUGUAUUAUAUGUAUCGUUUUAGAGAUAUCUAUGCACUUUUCGCUCUGAACGAUAUUUAUAAUGAUAAUGCUUUUCCUUUUCACAGAUUUUAUUAAAAUUUCUAAUAUUUAUAUUUAUCGUUUUUUAAAUUUAAACGAAGUGUUGUAAUACUAAAGCAGUUCAAUUGCCUUGUAAAUACAGAAUCAGUUCGAACAUUAUUUACAGAGAUUUCAUUAGAUUUUCAAUUCUCAAAGGAGAAAUGAAAUUGCCCAAUAUUAUGUUGAAUGAAUGAAAAAAUAUAAAACUUCAACUGCAAUAAUAGAUGAUCUACCAGAAAUGUUUAACAGUAUUGAUUUUUAAACAAAAGUGAAAUUCAAUACAGAAUAUUUGUGGUUUGUAAAAGAUUCUCAAACAUACUUUUAGAAAGAUAUGUUAAGAUAGCCAAUAACAGCUAUUAGAGGCGUGUUUAUUGCGAUUCGAAAAAUAAUUUUAUUUCCUUCUAAAUUGAAGAAUAUUUGUUUAACUUAGUUCAACUCUAAAUUAAUAUUUUCUGUAGCUAUGGUGAUAUGAAAUAUAAUGAAAACGAGCAUUGAGGUGGUAACUGAAUUAAAUUUUCGAAGUUACUUCAUAUCUUGUAGGGUUUCCAUGAUUCUAAAGAUCACUUAAGAAAUACAACAAAAUGCCAUUUCGAAGAAAGAUAUACACUGUCUGUCCUCUCGUCGAUGCCAUAUAAAGCAAUUGCCAAUGCAUUUAAGUCUGCAAGUUCAUAGUUCAAUUCACUAUAUAUAAGCAUCACACGUGAGAAAUUUUUUUUUACUUUGGGCUUCAACCUCUUGAUCAAUUCGUUAGGAAGUCGCCCUGGACUAACCGCUAAGAUUUCCUUACAGAGAAAAUAAAAAAUAAAAUGAAAGAGGGCAAUCCCGUCUAGUAGUUGAUCGACACUGGAAGUAGGCACCGGCAGGCUUUGGACUCAGAUCGAAGAGAACCGGAAAGAAUACUGAAAGGUUUUUCCCUCCGAAUUUCUGCCAGAUUUCCGUCUCAUUAUUUACGACGAGAGUUGCACUUCUCUAAGUAAUGCACGUCCGGCACGUAAAGUACUAUCGAUUAAAAAGACUCAUACACAAAAAAAGAAAACAAAAAAAAACACAGGCACCCCCCUCUCUCUCUCUCUUGCGCGGUCUUUCUUUCUCUUUGUAUAUGUAUAUAUAUUAAUUCCUACACAUUUUUUUCUCUCACCGUUUUUUUUCUUUCUCUCUCCAUUUUUGUCUCUCUGAAACUUUUCUGCCGAAGAGCGUAGACUCGAAACGUCAUUCUUCCCGAACGUUAAACUAAUACACCAACUUGUUGUUCCUUCACCUGUCUUCGUCUUCUCUUUUCUGUAAAUUGAAACUAUAUAUAUACACACAUAUAUAAUGGAUUCUCUCGUCGUGAACGACAAAUAACGGUUCAGUAAAAUAAAGCGGUAAUCAUGUUCUAUGGACACUAAUGUAUCACAUGAGGCUUACUAGUGCCUUGAAAAUCUUUUGGAAAAUGGAACAAGUUGAGGACUCAGUUUGCUUGGAUACUUGUGGAUCCUUUACUAUAUGUUUUCUUGGGUGGACGACAAGAUCUGCUUUGCUUCGUACCACAAAAUCAUUUAGAGGAGGAGCUUUUUGGCAGCGUGCCUUCAUUCUUGCAUGAAGUUGGUCGAAAUGUUGGAGUCGAUUUACUCUAACCUUUUAACUGAAGAGAAGCAGGACUGCCGCCAGGUCCUGCGUUCUGGUGCUUUCUUUUCCUCAGGAAGAAAAGGGAAUGUUGCAUCGCUUCAGAUUGUUUUUUUUAGUUAGUCUUCGAAGCGCAAGAGUAGCCUUCUAAAUCAUCUUCCUGUUAGGAAUUGGCCAAAGAGAAUUUCCUUCGGAAUUCUGAUAUCUUUCAUACAUAAAUAAAUAAAUAAAUAAAUAAAUGAAUAAAUAAAUAAAUAAAUAAAUAAAUGAAUAAAUAAAUAAAUAAAUAUAUAUAUAUAUAUAUAUAUAUAUAUAUAUAUAUAUAUAUAUAUAUAUGUAUAUAUAUUAAGGGCACUAUUAUACUUAAAUGCUUCACGCUAUGAGGGACUCUUAAAGUUUUGACUUUAACAGUCCCUCAUAGAGUGAGGCAUUUAUGUAGAGUAAUUCCCUUAAUAAAAAUAAAUAUAUUUAAAGGGAAUGAUUAAAAAUGUUUCCCUUAUGAAGUUUUUCACGCUUACUACUUGAUAAAUACUUAUACAAAUUUUAUCCUAUCUUUAAAUUACAUAUAUAUUUAUAUUAUUUUACACUUUUACUUGUUUCAGUCACUUGACUGCAGCCAUGCUGCAGCACCACCUUUAUAUAUAUAUGACAAUUUAGAAAGUAAAAAAAAACUUAAUAUAUCUAACGGAACAGGCGGCUCAUAACAUUUAGGUGCAAGUGGUCGAGCGCACCACAGAAUCUCCCGGGGAGAUUCAUCGUGAUACAGAACGUGACAAGGCUGGCUCUUUUAAUUAUGGAUAUAAUAACAUUUUUGCCUGUUGAGUGGACUGGAGCAAUAUGAAAUAAAGUGUCUUGAUCAAGGACACAACACGCCGCAAAGAAUCGAACUAACGACCUUACAAUCGUGAGCCGAAUAUACUAACCACUAUGUGACGCGCCUUCACUAUAUACACACACACGUACACACACACACACACACACACACACACACACACACACACACACACACACACACACACACACACAUAUAUAUAUAGGGAGAUAAUUCACAAAAACAAAAGACGAAGACAGGUGGUGUAGACAACAGAUGUAUUAGUUUAACGCUCGGGAAGUGAAAAAGUCUUCAACGUUUCGAGCCUACGCUCUUCCGCAGAAAGGAACACGGAAAGGAACAAAGAGAGAAAAUAAAGAAUGUGUAGUGGGUAGUAUGAGUGGGAAGUCUAACGCGGCUAGUGUUUGAGCGUGUAUACGUUAAAUAAAAUAAUAGGUUAAAUAAAUGUAGUAUAAAAAAGUCCCCUUUGAAUGAACACCACACAGAAUUAAUACCUGCACACUAUCCAUUUUUAAUAACAAAAUAUGAACUCCAAUCUGAACUUACAUACCAUGGACAAGAAGCCUUUUUACCCAUUCUACACAAUACAUUCCAAGGAUAAUGGAACAAUAAGUUUAACAUUCAACAUAUAUCUUUAUUUUUAUUUUUAUAUUUCUAUUUAUACUUCCCUUUCCAAAAUAACUUAUGUUGUAUUCCACUAUUUCCUGCUAUUUAACCCUCUCAUAUUGUCUCUGAUGAUGGGAUAUCUUUUAUAUCCCUGUAAGAGCUGUAAGACAACCCUUUUCUUUAUAAAAUGUCCCAGAAAUUUCACACUUCCUUGGCUUUGUUGUCCCAUUUUAUUUAACCUAUAUAUAUAUAUAUAUAUAUAUAUAUAUAUAUAUAUAUAUAUAUAUAUAUAUGUGUGUGUGUGUGUGUUUGUGUAUAUGUGUGUGUGUGUAUGUGUGUGUGUGUGUGUGUGUGUGUGUGUGUGUGUGUGUGUGUGUAUGUAUAUAUAUACUCGACUAGCUUAAAAGAUAAACAAUAAAUUUAACCUUGGCUGGAUUUGAGUUCAAAGCGGAGAGAACCGGAAGAAAUAUUGGAAGGUAUUUUGUCUUCAAAAAAUGCCUUUUAGGAUAUUGAUCACAAGAUCUUAGCAUUUCUUUAGUAACAUGCAUGCUACUACGUACCCCCUGGAUGGAACGGUUAACUCGGAAGGUUUUUGAGAAUUCUGGGUAUGUGAUAGCUAUGAUGUCUUGCAGUGCAAACUAAGUGUAAAUUAAAUAAUAGACUUUGACUCUUUCUAUCAAAAAGGAAUUUUAUAACCCAAUAUUUACAUGCUAUUAUUUAUAGCUUUACCUACUUCGAGUUCUGCUGUUAAAAACGAAUACAUGUGUACGUGCGUGUAUAAGUAUAUAUGUAUUUAUAUAUAUGUGUAUAUACAUGAUAUAUAUGUAUAUAUUCACAAAUAAAUAUACACACACGUUUAUACAUGCAUUUAUUAUGUGUAUAUUUAUGUAUGUAUGCAUCACAUACAUAUUUAUGCUACACACAUACACAUGCGCAUAUAUAUAUAUAUGUGUAUAUGCAUGUAUAUAUAUAUAUAUAUAUAUACAUGCACACAGACAUAUGUAUGCAUACACACAUAUAUUUAUACAACGACUUGUAUAAAUAUAUGUGUGUAUGCAUUUAUAUAUAUAUAUAUAUAUAUAUAUAUAUAUAUAUGCAUACAUACACACAUACAUAUGUAUGCAUACACGCAUAUAUUUAUACAAUGACAUACAGACACACAAUAUAUUACAUUCACACACAGUUCAGCAGUAACUAAAUGAAUAAUCAAUAAAGUCUAAUAAUCUUAGAAUAAGAUAUUAAAAACGGAAUAAUGAGAAGGUAAACAAGAAAAUUUUUGUGUUUAGUGAAAAUAAAGAAUAAAUGAUGAAAAGAAUGGAUGUGGAAUAGAUAUAAAUAUGAAGCCACGAGAGCUGGUCAAAGUGUAUGUUGAAGUCCUUCAGUUUGUUAUAAAACAAAUAGAUUUUGUAUAUAACUCCAUCUAAAAAUGGCUCAGAUUUUUGGUAUAUCUUAAGACAGGUGACUUGUAUAAUGUGACAGUAGUGUCUUUGUUAGAUGAGCAGUAAUGUUUCUUCUGAUUGUUCCUAGUAUCAUAUUUAUUGCUUUCAGCUUUGACCGAUGCAGAACAUAAAAUUCUGAAUUCAUUGAUUUUCGUAUCUAAGUCAGUUUUCUCUUCUGUGAAUGUGAAUAGUCUUAUCACCAAAGUAUUAUUUAUAUAUGGGACUUUCAUGGACAAAGUAUGACAUUUGAUUUUACUUGUAUUGAUCACCGGAGAGUCCUUUUACUAUUUCUAUGAAAUUAAUAUAGAUCUUUGGACAAUAUAUAGAUCAAGUCAAUGAAAGAGUUUAUACAGGGUCACUCGACUUGCUAGAAUUAAUAUUGAAAUCAAAAUUUAUCGUCUUUUUUUUAAAAGGGACACAUAUAAUGUAGACUAAAAUAAAAUAAAAUAUAUUUGCAAAGAGGGGAUGACUAUCGCUACAAUAUUUCUAGUCAUAGGUUUGCUGGAGCAGUGCCGACGUCGAGCUAAACAAUAACGUAUAUAGGAUGACUCGCGAGUGUCUAGGUGCAAACAUAUUUUAGUAUGAUAUGAGAAAUUUAAUAGUUUGCCAGUAAUAGUUGUGCCAAUUUCAGCACUAUGCCAGGAAUUUCGUGGGGAAGAGUAAGCAAAUUAUAACGACCCCAGUGCUCAACUGGUACUUAUUUUAUCGACCCCAAAAGAUGAAAGGCAAAGUCGACCUUGCAGAACGUAAAGACGGACGAAAUAUCGUUGAGCACUUUACCCGGCGUGCUAAUAAUGCUAUAGUUAUGCCAAUAUCGCUGGUAUACUUCUUGAUUAGAAAAAAAAAUUAGUGACUUGUAUAUCUUUCCGAAUAAUAUCAGAUAUAUAACUGAAGUGAAAUGGUUUGAAUUGUGGAUUAAGUCUUCUCGUAAUUAGGACCUUCUCAAAGCAUACCUCUUCCAACACAACGCCAUGAUUACAAAAAUAUUGAUUAAUUUUUUUGUCUUACUAAUUUUAAGGAUAAACGCUACAACAAAUGUGGCGUAAAUUAUCCAUCGAAUUAAUUGCUUUUUUAAAUUGCUUGUAGAUAUUUUGGUUCCAGUGGAGGAAUGGAAUAUUGAAUUCAAACUUGGCAGUAUUGAAGUUAGAGCCUAGAUAUAAGAAAUCAAAUAUUAGAAGGCAUUCAGCCUUGCCUUAUACGUUUCUGACUUAUGACUUUAUAUAUUAUAUAUAAUGAUACUGGGCAGUAUCAGCUGUGUAAAGGAAAUUGGCAUAGGGGAUUAGAUUUAUUACACAUAAGGUAUUACCCUGAACAAAGGGUUACUGAGUAGUAUAUUAUAAUCCCACUAUUCUUCUCCAACUCUAAUUUUGUACUUAUAAAGUAAUGAAAAAUAUUGGUCUUUUUAAAGAGGCAAGACUGAUGUAAGGUUUGAUGAAUGCUUUCAAUUUUUGACUUAAAAGAGAGAAGAUUCGUUGCACAUUGAAAGUUUUCCAUGGCUGACUUGGUUGACACCACUACCUGUCAGGUAUCCUUCACAGUUUUACAGUAGAAAAGACUCAUUUCCAAGAAUGCUUGUGCCGAUAGAUAAAGAACAAAUAUAGAUGUAUUUUGAAAUGUGAUGACACAGACUACAGACAAACGCUUUGAAUAGACCCUUCAUCGAGGAAAAAAAGAAUGAAAAGUUGGGAAACUUGUUUGAAAAUACAUCAUUAACAGAAAAGUGGUAUAAGCAAUACAAACAAAGAAUAAUCUUUACUAUUUUUACUAUAGCAACUGUAAUAGUACUAUAUGUAAUUUAGAAUAGUGAAAAUAUGAAGUCUAGAUAUUAUAUUUCAGAGGAUUGUCUUGUUUUUAUAAAGUAAGGUUUUGUUUAAGAUAUUACUGAGCGAAGUGGAAGUUCUUUAGAAGAAAGGAAAGAACAAAUGUAUAUACAUUUUUAUUGAUAUACAUACUUAUGUUUAUAGGAAUAAAUAUGCAUAUAAAUGCACAUACAUAGUUAAUCAUUAAUUAAAUAAUGACAGAAAUACAAAUUAAGUUUUCUACUGAUGUUCUAACCUAAUUGAUGAUUGCUUUAUAGAUUGAUAAUAUGUGCCAUUUAUUGGAGAAACAUUUCUUUGAGGAUUGGUGUACAAACCGUGAAACAGUUUGCUAGAAGACUCUCAUUUUUUCUCCGCAAAAGUUGUAAUAGGAAUGUAUCUACAUUUUUAUUUUCAAGUUUAAAAUAUGUAGGCUUCGUCCCCAUGUGGGUUUAAACCACCAGUCCUUCUGUUACCAUCCGAACACACUAACUGAUUGCACCACAGGGACAAGUAAAACAUGGCCUAAUGUAAUCCUUAAUUAUUAUAUAAUCAGGACUGGAAACAAGAAACUUCGGGUUGCGACUCACUAACUUAGGUUUGCAAAUAUUACUUCAAUCAUCCGAACAGUUAUGUACUGCCUUACUCUUAACAGCAUUUCACAACAGCAUAAUUGUAUGCUUGUGUUUGUGAAUUAGAAAGGUAAUAGACAUAGCUACAGGGAAAAAGACCUUGCGAUAACUAGUUCUAGUCCUUUACAUUCUGAGUUCAAAGACCAGGCUAAUUGAUCGAUAAUGUCUUGUAUUCUCCUGAGAUCGUUAAAAUAAUUAGCUGUAUGCUCUUCCCCCAAAUUCUUGUCAGUAUAUUAGAAGUCAAUAUUAGUAGUGAAUAUUACAUACGUGUGUACGUGUGUGUAAUGGCUUACUUCAUUUGUUUUAUUUAGUGUCAGACUAAACGCCUUUUUUAUUGCUUUUUCUUUAUUGCUUCUCCGUUACGUUCGGCAGACAAAGCUGGCGUUAAUUGAGUUUGCCUGGAAAUUCUCCGUGUUAGAUCAAAUGAGUUUCAGUUAUGUAUUUCGUGGGGUUAAAUUAAUUAAACACCUCCCAUGUGACUAUCUGAUGCCGUACGUGCGUAAAUUAUACUACUACUACUACUACUACUACUACUACUACUACUACUACUACUACUACUACUACCACCACCACCACCACCACCACCACUACUACUACUACUACUACUACUACUACUACUACUACUACUACUACUAUUACAGUAUAUAUAAAAUAUGUACGUGUACGUGUUUGUGAGUAUGUAUGCAUUAAAUACAUCACCCUACGACAGAGUGUGUAUCUGGUCGCUUGGUUUGAUAGAUACAGUAGCCAAAUCCCCCUCAAAUUUUAUGCUAUUUUCUUGAAUAGCAAGAAAUACAUUCCAUGCGAAAUGUCGAAAUUAUUGAUGGGAUGGUCUUAGGAGGAAUCCUUUUAAUCAGUGAGGAAGGCUAACCUGGAGCUGAAAACGUUGAAGUUGAAAUUCAUACACACACACACAAACAGACACACACACAAACACACACACACACAAACACACACACACACACACACACACAUACACGCACUCACACACUAGUAUACCCUUGUAAAAUUGCCGACAAUUUUAUUACAUAUACACGACAGGUUUCCGCAUAGUUUCCGUCUUCCAAAAUCACACACACGGCUUUAGUCGGCCUGUGGCUAUAGUAGAACACACUAGCCCAAGGUGCUGGGAAGUGAGAGUGAAACCGAAACGUUCAUCCUCACCGUAGUGCCAUAUUUGUUUGUGGUAUGUUUUGAUCUAUCAUAACAAGUCAAAGUCUUUGAUGAAUUAAAUGGCAAAUUAGUCUGAAGUACCAGACACAAAUUAUUCCCAGUAUUAAAAAUACAUAUAUAUAAAAUGAUGAAAGUGUCAGACACUGUAUUAUCCCCAAGUAUGAUUAUAGUAAUACUGUCGAAAAAACAAAAUUUAUAUUAAAAAAAUGAUUUAUAAAAUAUCAAUAUUUAAAAUAAAAAUGUUGAAAGAAAUAUUUAGAGUAGAAAAAUAUUAAAAGUUGCCAAUUUAUUUGCGAUGUUUAAUUCUUUUUUAGGUGUAUAAAUAUUAUUUAUUAAUUCUCUCGAAGACAACUGUAAAAGUGACAUAAAAUGUAGAAGAUUUGUUUUGCUUUGAUUUUGGUGUCCUUUCUUUUGUUUUUUCUAUUUAAUCUAAAAUUUCUUGGCAGCACCGAGAAUCUUUGUGAUUUAAUCACGUACCUCGUACACAUAAUCGAACAUACAGAUACGCAUACACGCACGCAUGCACGUACGCACGAGCACACGUACACACACAUAUGAAGUGGCUGUGUGAUUAGAUGGUUGCUUCGCUUCUAUGUAGUUCCGGAUUCAGUCCUACUGCAAUUAUGUGGUUUCGGAUUCAGUCCUACUGCAAUUAGAGAGAAGUGGCCGAUAAAAUAACAUCGGGUUUAUGAAAAUAAGUACGGGUAUCUAUUCAUUUCACUAAACCCCUUCAAGGCGAAUCCCCAGUUGGGUGAAGUUCAAUGACUGAAACAAGGGAAAGAUAACAUAAUUCUAAAACAUAACUGUAAGCUAAAUAAGAAUCUAUAUACAUUUUAUCUUAUUGGCACAUGCAAGAAAAUGAAGAGAGUCUCUUGACUGACCGCUUUACGGCACGUUGAUCGUUCUUCAGAGAUGUAUACACUUUUUCUCCGAAACAAUAACGCAAAUAUAUACGAAUAAAAAAUACAUCAUGCGCAGCACUGUACAUUUUACAGGCUUAUCGUAUUGAGUUCUAUAUUCGAUAAUGCUUGCGCCAAGUUUAAAUAUAUUACUUUAUAUUUUACAACACUUAUAUUAUGAGAUAUGUAUUUUUGCACAUUUGUAUGUGCUUGUGUGUGUGUGUGUGUGUGUAUGUGUAUGUGUGUAUGUUUAUAUACAUAAAAUACAUAUAUAUAUAUAGGCAUACACACAUAGAUGUAUGUGUGUGUAUCUGUGUGCAUAUGGGUGUGAUCAAGUUUAUUUCUGUACAUAUACAAGAUUCUGUGGCGUGUAUUCCUGCGUACUCUUGUUUGUAAAUAGGGCGGAACUUUAUAUAAUUGUUCGUUUCGUUGUACAAAUGCAUGAAAAGUCUGUUUGCCAAUUAAAUGCGGAAUCAUUCGUAUUCCACUGGCGUCUGGCUAAGUUUAUUAUAUCAUCUAUGUUAAGAGGAAAGGAAACGUGAGCUGAAUUUCUUCUGACAUUUCUGUAGUAAUUAUUAGAGAUUUGGUAUUAACGUAGAUACGCGUAAAUGUACCAGCGAGCGUGUGAAUGAGCGUACAAAUGAAUAGCGAUACACUAAAUCCGAUCUGUGUCUUACAUAGUGAAACAAUGGAACCUAAGGAAACGACUGUUGAUCUGUUUAGACAAACAGUGAAUACAAACUAUUCAUAUAAUGAAAUAAAAUUUCUGUGUGGAUAGAGAAGUUUUUCUCACGUAAAAGUAAUUUAUUCGAUUUUUUCAACUUUAUUUACUAAACAAUUUAAGUUGAAUACCGUCUUGAAGGAAGGGAACUGGAUUAUACAGUAUAUACGGUUAUAUUAUUGAUUUACUUUGACUAUGAGUAAAUAUAAAUUUUAUAAACAAUGCUAUAGUCGGACCCAGAUUAAGCAUUAAGCAAAAUAGCCAUGUGAGAGUACAACAAACAUAUUUAUUCAAGUUCCAGUUUUACCGGUGAUAGUGCAGUUGAACCAAUCCCGCUAAAAAAUGCUGAAAUUUUGCUUUUUUUCUAUGGUUGGCUGAGUUAUAAGUAAAUAAAUUGCUUAUAUUAUAUCUUUAAUUUAGUGUUACAAAAAAACCCCCAAAACAAAACACAGUUAUAUAUUUAAUAUAGUUGUGGGGUCAAGUCGAAGAGAAAGCCUAGAAGAAAAUUUAAUUCUUAAUCUCUUAUUUUUCAUUCAGCACAUACUACGUCUUUAAUAUCUUGUCAGUUUUAUAACGGAAGGAUCGAGUGGGCGAAAGUAUUGAGUAGGACUAAGCUUAGGACAUGAUUUGACCUUAUUCUAUCCCUGUAUACCGUUAUAAAGACAAUCAAUUCAGUGCACUGCUGGUACUUAUUUUGUCAGCCCGUAUAAAUUACUGGUAUACAACAUAACACUCACAGAUGAAUAAAGGAUACAAGCCAGUGUUAAUGAAGUUGUUCAGUUCUACUUUCGACUAUCUUGGCUUUCUGACAUUAAAUCUGCCCUCAGCAACGGCAUAAAACCCGAUUGUGACAUUUUGAAGUUAAGAAUAUAUUUCGCAGUAUAAUGUCCAAUAAUUUUACACAGAAAUAAUCAAUAAUUUGAUGAAUAAUACGCCGAAUGUGGUUUAUUCAGUAUUAUGGAUAUUUAUAAAUGAAUAUUAUAACAUAUCCUCCACACCGGAAGCGUUAGCGUAUAAGUUAUGAUAUUUAUUUUGUAUACAAUAGAACUGCUCAAAGUACAUUCAUGUUAUUCACAUGCUAAUAUACAUAAUUAUAUACAUAUAUAUAUAUAUAUGAAUAGGUGGUGUAUUUGCAUUGAAAUAUAGAUUCCUAUAAUAAGCAUACCUGUUAUGCGUUUGAACAGUCUAAUAUGGAUGUCUUUGUGCAGAUAAUACAUUUGCAAACUAAUGUGGAAGCAUGCGUGUAGAUUAUACAUGUCUGAAAUGAGGUAGGCAGCUAUAUAAAUGCAAAUAUAAUUUCGUAGGUGUAAAGAAAAUCAUAUUAACUUUUCAAAAAAUAUGUCAGGAUCUGACACGUAUGAUUUUUUUUACAAUUCAAUUCUGUAUGAAUGGCAAUAUCGACUGAACAUACCAACACUUUCUCCCUCUCUCUCUCCACACCUUUCUUUUUCUCUCCCUCCUCUCGCUUUCUUACACACAUAAAUAUAUGCAUAUAUAUAUGUCCAUGUGAAUACGCACACCCCCACAUACAAUUUUUGUAUGUGUGUUAGGGAGAUAUAUAUUGAAAUAGAUAGAUAUGAGAAUAUUUACAAAGGGGAUCACAAGAAAACCUCAUUUAAACAUGAUUCAUUCUUAUUCAUAGUAAUAUAUAUACAUCAACACACACAUACAUACACACACACACACAAUAUUUUUAGAACCUACACACAAAUAUCAAUAGAAAUAAAUCUGUUUAUACAAGUACGCACAUGUAUAUAUAUAUAUCUACGGUGGUGGAGAAAGUACACAAACACAAACACACGCACACAAACUCACACUUAGAUAAAUACAUACACACACAGUUGCAUAUGUAGUCACACAUAUAUAUGUAGACACAGACACGACAGGUUUCUUUCAGUUUCCGUCUACCAAAUCUACUCACAAAGUAUAGAGCUACUACGGCUGUAUACUUUGAAAUGGCUACUAUUGGAACUUAAAUAGCAUGUACAGGAAACUUUUUUUACCACUUCUAUACACCACUUUACUCGAAUAAUGGAGCUGUAACUAAAAUAUUUUAUAUUUUAUUUCUACUUUCAUUUUCUUAUUUCCUUCUAUAUUUCCUAUCUCCUCCUUUUUCAUAAUAAUUCCUCAUUUCUAACUUAAAUAUUUACCUCUAUUUAACCAUCUCACAUCGUCUCUGAUGAAGGGACAUCCAUAAUAUCCCAGAAACAGCUGUAAGACUAUAUCUAUAUCUUUUUCCUUAAAUAUACAUAUUGACAAUAUUAAUAAUUAGGAUCACUACGAAGCUGCAUAGUAAUAUAGCAACGCCUUUAAUUCUUUAAUUUAUAUACCGCCUUACAUAGACCAAAACAUAUUUCAAUUGCACCGAUUAGUAGCCGUUGCAAUUGCAACCCAAUUGUAAAACCGGUACCGUUUCUUCAGGGUGUUCACUUGAUAUCCUUCGAUUUGGCAGUUUAAAAUAUUUUCUUUUAUCUACUCUUCGUUGUAAUGUAUAGAGUUGUCCGUUAAGUUAGAGCGAACAAUCUUCGCUUCAAGUUCUUAUUGGAUAAUCAUUUUUAGUUCAUUAAUUCAAAACCUAUAGUUUAAAGGAUAAUUAUUCAUUUAAUCUUGGCAAAUGUGUACUUCCUCAUGUGCAAGCAUCUCAAUGCUUGUUCUUGUCCUAGAACUUAUUACAUAGACACAUACACACACACAUGCUUGAUCGCUAAAUCCACACGUUUUUUUUUAUUCUCUCUCUUUCUCUGUUCAUUUUUUCUUAUUCCUUUCUGUUGUAGAGCGUACGCUCGAAACGUAAAAGACUUUCUCAAUUUCCCUAGCUUGUUGUUCAUAUACCUGUCUUCAUCUUUUGUUUUUCUGUAAAUUUCAACCAUAUAUAUAUAUAUAUAUAUAUAUAUAUAUAUAUAUAUAUAUAUAUAUAUAUAUAUAUAUAUAUUGUUGAAAUAUAUAUAUAUAUAUAUAUAUAUAUAUAUAUAUGGGCAAGUGUCUUCUGCUAUAGCCCUGGGCCGACCAAUGCCUUGUGAGUGGAUUUGGUAGACGGAAACUGAAAGCCUGUCGUAUAUAUGUAUAUAUAUAUAAGUGUGUGUGUAUAUGUUUGUGUGUCUGUGUUUGUCCCCCCAGCAUUGCUUGACAACCGAUGCUGGUGUGUUUACGUCCCCGUCACUUAGCGGUUCGGCAAAAGAGACCGAUAGAAUAAGUACUGGGCUUACAAAGAAUAAGUCCCGGGGUCGAUUUGCUCGACUAAAGGCGGUGCUCCAGCAUGACCGCAGUCAAAUGACUGAAACAAGUAAAAGAGUAAAGAGUAAAGAGUAUAUAUAUACAUACAUAAGCGGGCGGGCGCGUGUGUGAGUGAGAGAGAGAGAGAAAGAGAGAGAAAGAGAGAGAGAGAAGCAGUGAGCCGGCGCAUACGCACAAGCAACUCUGUAUAUCAUCGAAUGUGUCAAUUUUAUGAGAAAAAAAGUAUUUAAUGUGUAUAGUAGAGUGUUUAUUUAUACAUGUUAAUGUCCUUGUGGACGAUAUAGCUGCCAUGGCGUAUUUAUAUACUUAGUGUCGCGCAAAGUUUUUUCUGGUUGAUUUUGAAUAUCUUUGUAUAUGGCAUGUGAACCCAGAAUUUACGUAAUCAUAGAAAUUACGAAUGUUUUGAGUUUAUCUGAAAAAUAAUUAGAUUUGCCUGAAAAAUUUAGUGAAUUGGCGAAGAGGCACGUCCCUAGUAAUUUGAAUGCAACAAACUCAGAUAUUUUCGAUCAUUUUUGUAUUUAUGUGAAUAUGAUUGUGUGUUUGUAUAAAUUUAUAUAAAUGUUAAUAUAAAUACAUUAUUACACACACACAUACACAACAUACACGCACACAUAGGCACAUACACAAAUGUAUAUAAAUAUAACAGUAUGUGUGUGUGUGUGUGUGUAUGUACAUAUAUGCACACACAUGCAAUAUUCACUAGAUGAAAUACAUGACUAACAUAAGUAACACACGUUUAGAAAAUUUGUAAAAAUUAUGCAUCGACACCGUCAGGGAUGCGGCCACAUGUCUUCAAAAAUAAAAGGUAGUACGAUUAUUAUAUUUUAUAAUAGUGACUUCUCUCUCUUUCUCUUUCUCUCUCGUUGUAUGUGUGUGUGUGUGUGUAUGUACAUAUAGUGUGUACAUAUAUGGCAAAUAGCCGUGUUUCUGGACAGAUCAUUGGGCACAGCCUCGAUACCCUCAAGAGCGAGAGUUACACAUAGACACAUUGACACACACACACAAGCAGACACGUGUAUUUGUACAGAUAUACAAUAUAUAUUUGUAGUGGUCUAUCUAUCUAUCUAUCUAUCUAUCUAUCUAUCUAUCUAUCUAUCUAUCUAUCUAUCUAUCUAUCUAUCUAUCUAUCUAUCUAUCUAUCUGUCUAUCACUAUACACACACACAUGCACACACACAUAUAUAUAUGCCAUAUAUAUAUAUAUGUAUAUAAAGCUGAAGUUGUCUGUGUAUGGCAGAUUUGGUAGCCUUCAACUAUCACUAUCUCCUCCGAGACCCUGCGGCGCAAGUUGACCAAAGUUGAGAGUAUGAUAGAAGAAGGCUUGCUCUUCCUUCUGUAGAAAAAAAUAUUCAAAUCGGACCAUGUUAACACCAACAAUUAUUUACAUCAAAAAGGUGCUUUUUUUUCUCUGAAAAUCUCUAUUUUUUACGAUAUUUUGACUGCUGUGUCACUGUGUCACCAUUUUUCGGUGUAUUUCAACCAGAAAAAUGUGCACUUAAAGAGAAUAACAAGCUACAUAAUGCAAAAGUUUUAGUUUUCAAAAAUUCCAAUUCUACGAUACUGCUAGUAUAUAUAUAUAUAUAUAUAUAUAUAUAUAUAUAUAUAUAUAUAUAUAUAUAUUGACCAGGACCAUGUGCAGGAUAUGCUCUCAGACUUGACGAGGUGUAUUAUGAUGUUAAGGAAGGUAUAUUGUUUCGUGACCCUCUUUUAGAAGGAGCUCAGGUUGCAGAGUAGCGUCGAUGAAAGUCAAUCUUACCUCCAUAGUAGAUACUGUCCUGGUGAGCCCCAGGGGGUUGCUAUUGUACGGUUAUACACAACACUAUAGCAGAAACAAUUGCCUUUCAAUUGACAAUUUUGGGGUACAUUGAAUUGCAAGUAUUUCUAUAACUGGUACAAUGUAGUAUUUUAUACUUCCUCUUGUAGUCUAUACCAGUGGUUCCCAAACAGUAUUUUGCUGUAUCCCCCACUUUGGCACUCAGACCACGUUUCUAGCGCCCCCUUCCUUACCACCAUAAACAUAGACCACUUUUAAGGCGGCGAGCUGGCAGAAUCGUUAGCAUGCCGGGCGAAAUGCUUAGCGGUAUUUCAUCUGUCGCUAUGUUCUGAGUUCAAAUUCCGCCAAGGUCGACUUUGCCUUUCAUCCUUUCGGGGUCGAUUAAAUAAGUAUCAGUUACGCACUGGGGUCGAUAUAAUCGACUUAAUCCGUUUGUCUGUCCUUGUUUGUCCCCUCUAUGUUUAACCCCUUGUGGGCAAUAAAGAAAUAAUAAACAUAGAACACUUUCUGCAGCAAAUUGCAAAGAAUUGUAUUUCACAAGUAAAGCUUAACCUAAUUAACCCAUCGUUGUGUUGCAUUUCCAUCCAUCACCAUUACGGCCCCAUAUAGAGGGCAUUACUAUACAUAAAUGCCACACACUAGGAGGGACUCUUAAAGUCAAAACUACCAAAAUAAAUUGACAAGACACACAGAAUCACCGGAAGAGUCGUGCUCUAUAGAGCCUGGUGUUCGUUAAAAAUUUCGAGAGUCUCAAGCAGUUGUCUUAUAAACAACUACGAGGUUGCCUCGACAUCUCCGCGACCGGAUAUUCAUCCAACGCUUGGAAUAACAACAAUGGCGAUCCAUAACCAAACCUAGUAAGCGUUUGUUAGCUGACGUCAUCUGUAGACGGUUCAAUUUCUAAGAAAUUAAACCCAUUAGAUUUCAGCUGGGCUAUUUAUCAUUGCUGACGUAAAGUCCAUCGGUCGUAAGUCGAUGACGACCUGUAUAUGUAUACACACACAUAUGUGUAUGUAUGUAUAUACACACACGUGUGUGUGCAUGUGCAUGUAUAUUUACAUGUGUGUGUGUGUGUAUAAAUACAUACACGCAGAUGCACGACACAUACAUGCAGAUAUAUAUGCAUAUAUUAUAUCCAACCCGUGACAAUGGUAUCAACUAUUUUUAUUGAUAGUCUGAAUUAUUUCGAAAACUGAUGCUACUGUAUAGUUUAAGAGAGAGAAAUAUUUAUUAUUAUUAUUAUUAUUAUUAUUAUUAUUAUUAUUAUUAUUAUUAUUAUUAUUAUUAUUAUUAUUGUUAUUAUUAUUAUUAUUAUUAUUAUUAUUAUUAUUGUUGUUGUUGUUGUUGUUGUUGUUAUUAUUAUUAUUAUUAUUAUUAUUAUUAUUAUUAUUAUUGUUGUUGUUGUUAUUGUUGUUGUUGUUAUUAUUAUUAUUAUUAUUAUUAUUAUUAUUAUUAUUAUUAUUGUUAUUAUUAUUAUUAUUAUUAUUAUUAUUAUUAUUAUUAUUAUUAUUAUUAAAAAUUUUUUUUUUUCCUUUCUUAUAUGUGUGAAUACUCUCAAAUGAAAAAUUGUUUCAUGACACUGUAGAAUCAUUAACAAUUCAGCAUCGCGUGUAUGAGUUUAUCUGCCUUGUUUUCGAUGCUGAAAUAUAUUUUACAGUAACUUACAUUUUUUUCUUCACUCUUCACUUAUAUCUAUUUCCACAGAAAUUAUAUAUUUUAUAUAGCUACUACUUUUCAUUUUAACUCUACAAAUGUUUCGAUAUAAAACUGUAUGUGUACAUUUCAAAAGCAAUAUUUCAUAAUAUGCAAGCUUUAUAAUAAUUUCUAGAGUACAGAUACAGCGAGGUUUGCGAAUAAAUAACUAUACAUUGUCAUAACUGUAUGUACGUAUGUAUGUAUCUUAUAUUGUAAUAUAGCCUCGUUCUGAAAUUAUUAUUCUUGAUAAUAUUUGUUGGUAGUUUGGAAUGGGGAACAAUCGAACCGAUUUCAUUGUUAUUUAGAAAUUGCCCAGGAUCUGUUUACAGUUUUUUCAUUCCAAGCUAAAGAGGAAAGGUAGCGAAAGACUGAUUUAUCUUUUACUUGUUUCAGUCACUGGACUGCGACCUUGAAGUGUUUAGUUGAAACUAUCGACCCUACUACUUACUUUUUAAGGCCUUGUAUUUACAUCAGGUUGUAACGAAAGUUCUGUCCGUUUUUCUAAUUGAAAUAAAAAUGGAAAUGCAGCCUAAAAUAGAUUUAUUUAAUCAUCAACAUAGUCCUCAUUCUUUUCAAUGACAUCUUUCCAUCAUUCCCUAAGUUUCUUGAUACCCUUUUCAUAAAACUCAUCUGGUUUUGACUAGGAAAAAGAAACUAGCUUCAUUUCAACCUCUUCUUAUGACGUAAACCGAAGUCCCGCAAAAGGAUUCUCUAAAAUUCUUAAAAAAAUGAUAAUCUGUUGGAGUAAGUUCAGGAGAAUAUGGUAGGUGAAGAAUAAUUUCCAAGCCAAAUUCUUGUAUAAGAUUCUUAGUCACUCUACCAGUGAGAGGUCUGGCAUUAUCAUGCUGUAAGAUCACUCCUUUUCUGUUUACCUACGAAGGCCGUUUUUCCUGUAGGACUGUUUUCAAACGUCUUAGCUGCUGGCAGUGAACUUCAGCUGUAUUGCUUGAUUGUCACCUAACAGCUUAUAAUUAACAAUUCCCCCCAUGUCCUACCAUACACUCAAAAGAAUCUUCUUUGGAUGCAGACCUCUUCGAAGCUGUUCGAUAGGUCUUGAAUUACAGCUGAGCCACUCUCUUUUCCGCUUAACAUUAUUGUAGCGAAUCCACUUCUCAUCUCCAGUAAUGAUUCUGUCUAAAAAAGAUAUUUGAAGUUCACGAGAAUGCAAUGAGACACAGUAGUCCACACGGUGUUUGCGAUUGUUUUCUGACAGAUCAUGUGGAACCCAUCUUCCAGCCUUGGAGACUUUAUCAAAUCUUAUUCUUUAUGAUGGAUGGUCAUAUGGCUCACAUUAAACCCCUUGCUCAUUUCAUCAACAGUAGCGUGUAAUUCGACAGAAUUGAGUCCUUUGGGGCGUCCUUCUCUUGCUUUAUCUCUUAAAUUGAAGUCCCCUCUUUUAAAAUGUGAAAACCAUCUUCUGCAUGUACUUUUAUUCACCACAUCAUUUCUAUAAGUGUUUUUGAAUGAUUUUACUGCUGAACUUGCUGUAUUCUGCUUCUGGAAUUCAAACGAUAACACAUGCAGUGUGUGCUCUUUACUUGGUGUGUACAUUAGGGUCAACUGAAAGAAGAAAUAUUUUAGUGAUUAAGAUAGCCACUAAUAUCAUUUAGAAGCUAGAUUGGUGUAAUCCUGCUUUAUAAUUAUCCUUAAAAAAACGGACAGAACUUUCGUUACAACCUGAUACUAUCGAUUACUUUUGCUGAACCGCUAAGUUACGGGGAGGUAAAACUAACAACGGUUGUCACACAGUGGUAGCGGACAAACGCAAAAACAGGCACUCACAGACAUCCGAUGGUCGUCUUUCAGUUUCCGUCCACCACAUCCACUCAUAGGGCUUUGGUCCGCCCGGGGUUAUAAUAGAAGAUAUUAGCCCGAAGUAGCACGUGGUGGAACUGUACCCAGGAUUAUGUGGUUGGGAAGCAAUUUUCUUACCACACAACUACUCCUGUAUCUAUUAUUCCUUUAUCGUUUUUAGUUACCGGAUUGCAACCAUGAACAGCCCGGUCUUUUGUUCUAGACAGUGUCUCUACAUUUACAUUAUCCAAUGUGUCCUUUCUUUAUAAAGCGGGUAAUAUUUUGAUUUGAGUGCGACUUGGCUGUUAUUUUCAUCAUAUCAUACGAUAUCGUAUGAGUCUCUCUUUGGCUCGAUAACCAAAGCGUUGUUGUUAUUUAUCCUGGCCAGCCUAGCUGACAUUAAACUUAGGAAGACUUAAAGAGCAGAGAAUUAUCAACUGGAGCAGGAACGAGAAAAUAUUUUCGUAAAGAAAGUAGGAUUUUGGUUCAAGUGAAAUUUGGCUGCAAUUUCUAGCAUGUCAUACGACAUCGUAAGAGUCUUCCUCAUUGGCUCGAUAAUCAAGAUAUUGUUGCUUAGUCCUGGCGGGUUCGGUUGACAAUAAAUUUAGAAAGACUAACAGAUCAGUUAUUUAUCAACUGGAGAAGGAAGGAGAGUAUAUCUUCUCAUGAGUAUGACACAGGAAUGUGAAAGAGGAACCAAAACUCUGUUAAGAAACAAAACAAAAAUAAAAACAAUGAACAAAAAUACUGAGCGGUAUAGUUUGGUAGUCCUCUGGAUAACGAAGAGGGAUGAACGUGCUAUACUGUUGGCCAAAAUAACCCAAUCAUUUCCACUUUCGAAGAGGGAGCAAUAUUGCCGGAAGGUACUGAAAUAACUACGCCUCUAGUUUAUGUAUCGUAAAUGAAGUGUUUUGCAUUGCAAGCUGCAUACAUACAUACAUACAUACAUACAUACAUACAUACAUACAUACAUACAUAUAUAUAUAUAUAUAUAUAUAUAUAUAUAUAUAUAUAUAUAUAUAUAUAUAUAUAUAUAUAUAUAUAUAUAUAUAUAUAUAUAUAUAUAUAUAUAUAUAAAGUUAAAACAUUGUCUGGUUUUCACGUUUUUUAUAAUGGUAUUUAAAAAAGAUAGAAACUCUUUUACAAUGUUGAAAUGUGUUAAACAUUAAAAAAUAUUUCGUAAUGUUCCUGAAGUUGAAUUAACGCUUUCAAACGUUCGUAGUAAUCAUCAUUAUAUAUAUAUAUAUAUUUGUAUUUACAUAUAUAUGUAUGUAUAUAUGUAUGUAUGUAUGUAUGUAUGUUUGUGUGCGUAUUAUAGACAUAUGCAUAGAUAUGUGUGUGCAUAUAAUAUACAGUAUAAAAUAUAAUUUUAUGCAUAUAUACGUACAUACACACAGAAAUACAGACACAGGCACAGACAGACAUACAUUUAAAUCGAGUAUUUAGUUGCCACUCAAAUUCCACCCCCUGCAAUCUUUCAGGCGACUCCUGAAGUUUGAUUACAUAUAAUGGGAAACAAACGGAUUUUGGCAGUUACAAGAUAAAUUGAUGUGAGAUAAAUUGAAAAUAUAUAAUUUGGACUAUUCAAUUAAAGAGUUUAAAAAGUAGUCCUCUCCACCCCAAAUCAUGUAUAAUGUCGAAUGUAAAUGCAUUUUUGAUUUAUGUAUUUGCUUUAGAUAAAUUCAAAACUAGGCUAAUUACAUUUUGGUUUUAUUUUCAGAAUGUUAGUGCUCUUGUUCAUUCUCACUUUCAUCUUCUCAAUGAAGCCUUCAUCUGCGAAGACACAAACCUACGUUAGAGCUGGUUAAUGCAAGCAAAAAAACAAAAAAAAAACAAAAAAAACAAACAAACAAAAUAAAAAAAAAUGGAAUGAAAACUGAAAUGGA
rnacentral:lncRNA from 1 species